AUUUACUCAGCCGUUAAAAUGAGAUAUGAAUGGGUUUUCAAAAAUAUGGUGGAAAAUUGUGCACACUGUCAUUCUUUAUUAAAAAUUAUAUAAGAAUUCAAUUUUUAAUAAAGAAUGAUAAUGUGCGCAAUUUUCCACCAUAUUUUUGAAAACCCAUUCAUAUCUCAUUUUAACCGGUGAGUAAAU
rnacentral:pre_miRNA from 1 species